rnacentral:sRNA from 1 species
GGUAAAUUGCGCUUUCUGCACAGAUAAAACACAGAAUUGUGUUUCUUAGUUUUAUAGCAGAAAUCUAGUAGCAUCAGAUAGUGAGGAAAUAACAAACACCGCUUGAUGAAACGUCAGUCUUGGGUUUCAGGCUACCAAACAAAUAGUUAUAAAUAAAUGUAAAAUAUGAUGUCACAGUCCUUGAAUACAUUUUUGUUAUUUGUAUAGUAUGCUAAUAUAAAAUUCACUCUGCUUAAAUCAACUGAAAUGUGUUAUUAAAUAAAAGUGCUAACUUGUAUGUAUUUUGUUUUUUGUUCACUGUCAACAUAAUCUACAUAAGACUUGUAACUUUUUUUACGCCAAUAAAAAUUACAUCUCCACUGACUAUAAACUAAAUAUCAGAGGCAGAAAUUUGGUGAUGAGUUUGUUCUUGAUGUUAUAGAACUAAACAGUCUUGGCAGAUAUUAUCAGAGAUACCAUUUCUCAUAUCUACAUGAUCACAUGAUCACUCCAAGUUAGAUUUGAAACCAUUUUUCCCUGCAUCAUCGUCACAAGCGAGUCAGAAAUACAUUUUUACUGUAUUUUCAAAGACAGGAAGAAAUAUGAAAAAAAAUAAUAUCAUAUUAAUAUUGGUAGUGCUUCAGACAGCUUUUCGGUGAUACUCCGGCGGCGCAACUUCAUACUCGCUAAUACUGAAUAAAGUAGAGGAGUUUUUCAGUAAAUAUUUUAAAAAGUCAUGAAUGUGAGUCAAUAAGAGCUGUAUACUCUUUUCAUCCAGCGGUGUGUACGCCAACAUACUGCCAAGUUUUAC